GGGCUUUUCAUUUUUUUUUGUGGGUUUGUUUUUUCUUUCUUUCUUUUUUUUUUUUAACGCUCCUUUUGGGUUUGGAAGCUGGAUGCCACACAUAGGUUUCUCCACACCGACCUGGAAAUAAUUUACUUGUUUUAAUGCAAAAAAACCAAUCGAACAACAACAACAAAGCUGAGACUCUCAGAAGAAAAGCCCCCAGGAAUUGUGAAAUACCAAAUGUCACACCAACAAAAAUGACUGAAGCUGGCAGCUCCCAGCGCAGCGUAUCACGUUGGUCUUGAGCAAGAAAAAGCCAAAUCAAGCAAGACUUGAUGGAACAGAGUAAAAGCAGGCAAGCACCUCAUCUUGGCUUGGAAUAGCACAUUCAUAGAGAAAGCAUUUUUCAUUGCUUUUUAUUUGUGCAGGGAGUUGUAAUGCUGAAGUUGCAAACUGUGCUGGCAGGCAAUUCCUGCAAGGACCCGAUCCCAGUGAGCUGGUGAAACCUCCCUUUGUCACCACAAGGCCUGGAAAGGUGUAGACCGAUGUCCCCCAUCCUCUUGGCCAGUGUGCCUACCUUCUGGUAUCUGCCCUCGCCAAAGGUGUCCUUCUGACAUAGGUUUGGCUGAAGAUCAGGCAAUUAUUUGAUGCUUUGAAUGUUGACUUAGGGAAAAGCUUUCAGGCCAAGAGGGUGUUGCUCGAAGCCUAUCUCAGGCACCCUCAACACCCCUAAAUUUUGCUGGGAUCCAUUGGUUCUGAGUACCCUGAGUCCCCUCUUUGCCAUCUCCAAUGUGUUUAUGGGCAAUGAGAGGGGCUGUUGUCCCUCUUCCAAAGGCAAAGGCAGCAGUGAUGGUGAAGCCCAAGCCCAUGCUUUUUCUGUUCUCCUCCAGCCCAUGCUGCUGGCACUGGGCUCUCCUAACACAUCUCUGCCCUUUCCUGCUGCAGGGAAAGACUGCAACAUAGGGCAGGAGAGGAAAAACCCCUCCAAUUAUGCUUUCUGCCUGUGCUGGCCAUGGUCUGCAGCCCAAGUUACCAAUGGGACUUGCUAAUAGAGCAUCUGGGACAGUCUUGCACUGUUUUCCCCAUAGCUGGUUUUCGGAUUAGUGCCUCCCAGCUGAUCGCUCUCCCAGAUGUGUGUGUGUCCAUACAUGCAGUCAGAUCACUGAUGGAUGCUCUGCAGCCAUCUGGAUGUCGGGGAGAAAUGACAAAUUUCCCCCUUACUGCCAGCCACCCCUUCCAUGAGAUAUUGAUGAAUGGCAUCUUUAUUGGCUGCUGGGCUAAUUAAAUAAAAGUUGCAUCAGCUUCUAGCUGACAGGCUCUAAUUGCUCCUGAUCAGAUUUUGAGAGGACCAAAUGAA
rnacentral:lncRNA from 1 species